UACGUAGGGGGCAAGCGUUGUCCGGAUUUAUUGGGCGUAAAGAGCGUGUAGGCGGCCGUGUAGGUCCGUUGUGAAAACUCGAGGCUCAACCUCGAGACGUCGAUGGAAACCACACGGCUAGAGUCCGGAAGAGGAGAGUGGAAUUCCUGGUGUAGCGGUGAAAUGCGCAGAUAUCAGGAAGAACACCUAUGGCGAAGGCAGCUCUCUGGGACGGUACUGACGCUGAGACGCGAAAGCGUGGGGGGCGAACAGG
rnacentral:rRNA from 1 species